rnacentral:rRNA from 1 species
GUCUUUUAGAAAUUAAUUUAAAGUCUAACCUGCCCACUGAAUAUAUUUUAAAUGGCCGCAGUAUUUUAACUGUGCAAAGGUAGCAUAAUCAUUAGUCUUUUAAUUAAAGGCUGGAAUGAAUGGUUGAAUGAAAUAUUAACUGUUUCAUAAAAAUUAAUAAUAAAAUUUUAUUUUUUAGUCAAAAAGCUAAAAUAAAAUUAAAAGACGAGAAGACCCUAUAAAUCUUUAUAUUAUAAUAAUUUUAAUUAUUUAGAUAAAUUAAAUUAUAAUUUUUAAUAAUAUUUUAUUGGGGUGAUAUUAAAAUUUAAUAAACUUUUUAUUUAAAUUAAACUAUAAUUAUUGAAUUAUUGAUCCAUAAAUUAUGAUUAAAAAAUUAAGUUACUUUAGGGAUAACAGCGUAAUUUUUUUAGAGAGUUCAUAUUGAUAAAAAAGAUUGCGACCUCGAUGUUGGAUUAAGAAAUUAUUUUAGGUGCAGUAGCUUAAAUUUAAAGUCUGUUCGACUUUUAAAUUCUUACA